UGAACGCUGGCGGCGUGCCUAAUACAUGCAAAUCGAGCGAACAGACGAGGAGCUUGCUCCUCUGACGUUAGCGGCGGACGGGUGAGUAACACGUGGAUAACCUACCUAUAAGACUGGGAUAACUUCGGGAAACCGGAGCUAAUACCGGAUAAUAUAUUGAACCGCAUGGUUCAAUAGUGAAAGACGGUUUUGCUGUCACUUAUAGAUGGAUCCGCGCCGCAUUAGCUAGUUGGUAAGGUAACGGCUUACCAAGGCAACGAUGCGUAGCCGACCUGAGAGGGUGAUCGGCCACACUGGAACUGAGACACGGUCCAGACUCCUACGGGAGGCAGCAGUAGGAAAUCUUCCGCAAUGGGCGAAAGCCUGACGGAGCAACGCCGCGUGAGUGAUGAAGGUCUUCGGAUCGUAAAACUCUGUUAUUAGGGAAGAACAAAUGUGUAAGUAACUAUGCACGUCUUGACGGUACCUGAUCAGAAAGCCACGGCUAACUACGUG
rnacentral:rRNA from 1 species